UACGAAGGGGCUAGCGUUGCUCGGAAUUACUGGGCGUAAAGCGCGCGUAGGCGGUUACUCAAGUCGGAGUGUGAAAGCCCCUCGGCUUAACUGAGGAAGUGCACCCGAAACUGAGUAGCUAGAGUACCAAAGAGGGUCGCGGAAUUCCCGGUGUAGUGGUGGAAUGCGUAGAUAUCGGGAGGAACAUCAGUGGCGAAAGCGGACACCCUGGCAUUAGCCGUGACGCUCAUGGUGCGAAAAGCGUGGGGAGCGAACGGG
rnacentral:rRNA from 1 species